GUAGCUUAGCGAGGUGUUGGUA
rnacentral:miRNA from 1 species